rnacentral:misc_RNA from 1 species
UCUCCGUUGGUGAACCAGCGGAGGGAUCAUUACAGAGUUCCACAACUCCCAACCCCUGCGAACCGUACCCCAGUUUGUUCUCGUUCCCUCCUGGCCCCGUCCCCCCGGCGCCACCCCCUGGCCCCCCGCCAGCGGCGGCGAGCCCCCUGAACCUUUUUUUCCCAACCUGCCCGUCUGUGCUAACAAACACAAGAAUCAAAACUUUCAACAACGUAUCUCUUGGAUCUGGCAUCGAUGAAGAAGGCAGCAGAUCGGAAGAGCACACCUCCGAACUCCUGC